rnacentral:rRNA from 1 species
AUACGGAGGAUCCGAGCGUUAUCCGGAUUUAUUGGGUUUAAAGGGUGCGUAGGUGGUUUGAUAAGUCAGCGGUGAAAGUUUGCAGCUUAACUGUAAAAAUGCCGUUGAAACUGUCGGACUUGAGUGCAAAUGAGGUAGGCGGAAUGCGUGGUGUAGCGGUGAAAUGCAUAGAUAUCACGCAGAACUCCGAUUGCGAAGGCAGCUUACGAAGCUACAACGGACGCUGAAGCACGAAAGCGUGGGGAUCAAUCGGGAGUAGAGUCGCUGGUAGUCCACGCGGUAAACGAUGAUUGCUAGCUGUUUGCGAUGCACAGUAAGCGGCACAGCGAAAGCGUUAAGUAAUCCACCUGGGGAGUACGCCGGCAACGGUGAAACUCAAAGGAAUUGACGGGG